GCAUGAGUUUGGAUUGAUGGCAGGUCCAAUCCCAUGACCUUCUCAUCGUGUUCCCUGCCAGAGCAAACUGGAACCCUAAACCAUUGCUUGCCUUUACCUCGUGGGCUUCAGGCACUGAGGCGGGUUGCACAGUG
ensembl:snoRNA